AUUUAAGGUCUAAUCUGCCCACUGAUUAAUUAAAUGGCCGCAGUAAUUUGACUGUGCAAAGGUAGCAUAAUCAAUAGUUUUUUAAUUAAAAGCUUGAAUGAAUGAUUGGACGAGAUAAAAUCUGUCUUUAGUUAAAAAUUAGAAUUUAAUUUUUAAGUUAAAAAGCUUAAAUAUUUAUAAAAGACGAGAAGACCCUAUAGAUUUUAAUUUAAUUAAUUUUAUUUUUAAUAAGGAUUAAUUUAUUAAUUAAAUUUAAGAUAAAUUUUAUUGGGGUAAUAAAAAGAUAAUAAUAAUUCUUUUAUUUAUUUACAUAAAUUAUUGAUUAUAUGAUCCUUAAAUUAAGAUUGAAAGAUUAAGUUACCUUAGGGAUAACAGCGUAAUUUUUUUAGAGAGUUCAUAUCGAUAAAAAAGUUUGCGACCUCGAUGUUGGAUUAAAAAUUAUUCUAGGUGAAGAAGUUUAGAAUUUUGGUCUGUUCGACCAUUAAAUUUUUACAUGAUCUGAGUUCAGACCGGUGUAAGCCAGGUCGGUUUCUAUCUUUAUUAAAAUAAAAUAUUUUAGUACGAAAGGACCAAAUAUUUAAUUGAAUUUAUUUAAAGUUUUGAAUAUUAUUAUUAUUUUGGCAGAUUAGUGUAAUGAAUUUAGAAUUCAUAAAUGUAAUAGAAUUACAAAUAAUAUUGUUUUAUUUAGAUUUGUUAUUUUCAAUAGUUUUUAUAUUAUUAUCU
rnacentral:rRNA from 1 species